GCAGAGCACAGGAGCUUAGAAGGCAGACAGGAGCCCCAGACAGCACAGACUUUCAGGAUGGAGCUGGGAAGUCGGUCUUCUGAAUAAGCAAGUUUGCUGACUGAACAGAAUGGGGGCACGUUGAGUGCCUGAGAGUGGGCGUUGCUCUGGCAAGAUGACUCACUGAGAACAACACGGUUUGGAGGAAUCAAGUCUGUCCCUUAGAUGAACACCGUGGCGACCAUUUGAUUACCAACUAUGACAGCAUGGCUAACUGACACACAAGAAUUUCAUUGUAUUCUCUGAAGAAAACAGAAGGCUGGCUCAUUAGAUAAUGCAUUUGCUUUAGAAGAUGAGGCUUGGACCUGAGAAAGCAGUUGCCAAGUUCCACUUCACCAUGGCACCCGGG